CCAAAACGCUCUUUUUCGAAAAAGAUGGCGUUUUGGAAACCAUGGACUGAUCCAACGAUCUCGCAUCCUCUUCUUCUUCUUCUUCUUCUUAUAGUUAUGGGUAUGCGAAUAUAGAGAAGCAAAGACAGAGAUUGCCAUUAGUAGUGUACAAAUUACAGAACUGAGAUUCUCUUUCUUGGUGCUACCAUCAUCAUCGUUGGUGUUUUUGGCUGGGCUCAAGGAGGACUAGUUUUUGCUUUGGAUAAGGUAAAGAAGCUGGAUGGGCUCAAGGAGGCCGAGUUUUUCGACCAUAUCACAAGCUUCUGUAUGAGGUAUUGCUUUCUUAAUUUACCAUUUUUAAUAAUUGAUUUUUUUCAGAAAAAAACAAGAAUUUUUUUUUUUAUCAUUUUUUUUGAAGUGUUAAAUUUUUAAUUUUUGUGUAAAC